rnacentral:lncRNA from 1 species
UCGGCGGGAUUUUGGCAGCAUUGUUUCCGUCUUGUUAAUUUGUUAAUUCAGUUCAGUCUGUUGAGCAAUAUAAAAAGUGUCGCGUUAUAUUUUUUAUAAAAGUUGUGUUUAAAAGUGUAAAAAAGCGUGUAAAUAUGUUGCAGAGGACUGCUCUAAUUUUAAACCGUGCUCGAGAAAUAACAAACGAGGAGAAGGUAAGUUAUUUUGUAUUGUAAAAAUUACCAGACAUUAUUUUUGAGGUGUAAAUUAAAAACUUAAAUUUUUACAGUAGUUUUGUUUAUCUUUAUUUACUUUAUUUAUAGGAAGAAGGUAUUCGGCAAGAAACAAGUUCGCUUCAGACUUAUACCAACUUAGAACCGUUACAGGAAGUUGAUUUUAACUCAGCAACAGAUAUUAGUGAGAAAGAAAGUACUCAUACAGCAGCUGUUUCCCCAAAGACUUACAGCGAUUUACAAACGGUUCGGGAAGUGGAAUUUAAUCUAAAAUUACCAGACAUAAUUUAUGAGGAAGGAAGUAAUUCGGAUGGAUAUUCAAACAAGGAAAAUGAAAUAGGUGACGUAAGAGUAAUGGAUGAUAAUCAAAAUCAAGAAGAAGACCGACAGUCGGGUCGGAAAGAAUAUCGUCAAGAUUUAAAUUUUGUCAACAGAGAUAUUAAUGAAGAUAACAAUAUAGUAGAGAUGGAGCAAUCCGAUAAAGGAGAAAAUGAUGGGGAAAAGAAUGGCGUAAAAUCUAAAGAAAAAAAAAAUCAGGGCCGUCCAAAAAAAGGGAGAAAGAGAAAGUUCCCUAGUCAGAAUAGAGAA